CCAGCAUCCGAGUCAUCCUCCUCAGUGCCAUCCUCCUCCAUGGCCUGUGCUCCAGACGGAGAGCCACCUCCUCCAGCAGUGGGAGCCUGGUCCCCAAGCCAAGCUACAAACACUUCAUACUCGGCUGGAGUCAUGAAAUCGAGGAGAGGCCCCAAAAGUGUGCCUCAUCAUCGCUGCCUAGGCACAUCCAAUCCGGUUAACGGCCUCCAUCUUCCCC
rnacentral:lncRNA from 1 species